rnacentral:SRP_RNA from 1 species
GCUGGGCAUGGUGGUGCGUGCCUGUAAUCUCAGCUACUCAGGAGGCUGAGGCAGGAGAAUCACUUGAACCCGGGAGGUGGAGGUUGCAGUUAACCAAAAUCGUGCCACUGCACUCCAGCCUGGGUGACAGAGUGAGACUCUGUCUCAA